GCAGUAUUUAGUGUUUCUUCGGGGUGCAGACUACCGAGAGGGGCAAACAGGAGGAGGGAGGGGCAGGUAGCUAACGCACACAUAUACACACACACACACAUUGGCACAGUUAGACGCCCACUUAGUACGUUGCGAUUAAGUGCAGCAAGAGUCAGCAGCUAUAGCUGAAGCGUAGCUCCCCGCAGCCUAGACAAGCUGCCUUGACAAGCAUCGACCUUAUGACGUCGUCGCCAGGCGCGUCUCCGUCUCCUUCCAUUGAAUGUUGCAAGUUGUUGUCUGCUGCCAGUCGCCACUCAUCAAUCGUCGCAGUCUAAUGGCCAUUGCGAUAUCUACAUUAGAGCACAACAAUCGACGGCAGAGGAGGAAGAAGAGCGGAAGGGGAGGCAGACAUUAGAGAAAGCCACCGGCGUGGUAAUUAAUUAGGCCCCGCAUAGAAUGGCAACUCGUGGUUGCAACUGCAACUACAACUUCAGCAAACGCUAUCGCUCUCUGUGUGCUGUGCUCUGCUCUGACUGUGGAUUAACCUCUGCGCCAGGUUCUCAUGGUCUCCGGGCCACCUACUUGCUGCAUCAAAGCAUCGUAGCAUCGUUAAACGAUACUCUCGUGUUAUUCCCUGGACUAACAAAGCGGCAGGUGACUGGACUGCGCUUUUUCCCCUGUGGAACAGGGAUUGGAAAGCACACAAGGAAAGGAGCACUCGGCUCGUGCGCCAUCACAGAUUUAGCUGGGAUUCGCUAAUCAUUGUGCUUCAUCAUCAUCAUCAGCAUUGUCCACGGCAGCAGCCUUUGUCUUAGAGGCGAGUUUAGUUGCAGCAAAUGAGGUCACAAUUGUGGUCUCAUUUGGUGGGCAAUUAAAAGUCCAUAAGCUGAACAAAUUACAGCCAAAACGUGAGGGAGGCAACCACAAGGAAAGACAGAGGAAAGGGCGAAAGACAGCGCUCAAAACUCAUCUCGUUUGGGGACAGGCGCUGGGACAGCGACCUUUGAUUUAUCGUUAUUUUCAUUUAAAAGGCAAACGACAAAAAUCAACAUCAAGCCAAGAAGAGAGAGAACUUGCAACAGCAGUAGCAAGAACAAAAAGAAAAAGAGCAACAACAACAGCAACAAAUCGAUGUCCCAUCGCGCGUUUUAAUGACAACGACCAACUCGAAGGCAUUUCAACAACAGCAACAGCCGAAGCGAUGGCCACAAAAAACUUCUAUAAAUUAACAAUAUAUAUAUAUACUUAUGUACAUAUAUAUAUAUAGAUACUUUUACGAACGAGCAUAAAAAAGAGUUUAUAGACACAAACAAAAAAUGGACGGGCGAUGAGCGCAGCCACCGCCAAAAAGGAUGCCCGGCGGCCAGUUGUAAGUGAGCCACUGGGCGAUGACUUCAAAACGAGCGACGACAACAGCAACAUUGAUCGCGAAUCGCAUAUCGAAGACAGGCAGAAAGAGACUCUCCUGCUCUUCACUCCUCUCCCGCUCCCGCUCUUCUCGUCAGUCUCAGUGCAGAAUUCGUAUUCAAUUAAAAAGCGUUUAUGCUGCAAUUGCAGCAGCAGCAGCAGCAAGACGAAGGGGCAGCCAGGGAAGAGGGCACGACAGGGGUUCAAGGACCCACGGGGCGUAUGAGUGUUGCAUAGUUUUCGAAAAUUCAAUUUGCGAGAGGGGCGCAGCUGAACUAGUUUUUCAGUUGCUGUUGCUGUUGCUGUUGCUGCAGCAUCCUCUGCAUCUCUGUGGCAAUCUGUGGCGUGGCGUGUCCAGUUUUGGCCUGUGGCCAACGCAAUGCAACGCAGCAGCAACAACAUCGUCGCCGUCGUCGUCGUCGUUGUCGUCGUCUCGUGUCGCGUUGCGUCUUAAAUAAGUUAUUAUCAUUGCUCGCUUUAAUUGCUGUAAUUGAAAGUGAAAAUGUUUGCCUUUUGAUUCGUGCCACAGCAAAAAUGUGUCUAGGUGUCAGUCGUGCCACUUUGCCACACAGUGCGAGUGGCAACAGGAAUGUAUGUAUGUGAUGGAGCGAGAGAGGAGAGGAACGAGUGGGGGGAACUCGCUUAGUGGGUCGUCUCUUGGCUCAAGGACACCGCACCGAGUGGAGUCGAGUGAAGUUGAGCUGAGCCCAAAAAGUAGUUGCCGCAUGUGGCGCGACGCAUACACGUACAAGUGAACAUGCCACAUGCCUCAUGCCUCCUUUGGCGACAUGCGACAUUGCCUCAUCAA